CCUACGGGAGACAGCAGUGGGGGAUAUUGGACAAUGGGGGGAACCCUGAUCCAGCGACGCCGCGUGAGUGAAGAAGUAUCUCGGUAUGUAAAGCCCUAUCGGCAGGGAAGAAGAAAUGACGGUACCUGAGUAAGAAGCCCCGGCUAACUACGGGCCAGCAGCCGCGGGCAUACGGAGGGGGCAAGCGUUAUCCGGAAUUACUGGGUGUAAAGGGAGCGUAGACGGUGAUGUAAGUCUGGAGUGAAAGGCGGGGGCCCAACCCCCGGACUGCUCUUGAAACUAUGUGACUGGAGUGCAGGAGAGGUGUGCGGAAUGCCUGGUGUAGCGGUGAAAUGCGUAGAUAUUAGGAGGAACACCAGUGGCGAAGGCGGCUCACUGGACUGUAACUGACGUUGAGGCUCGAAAGCGUGGGGAGCGAACAGGAUUAGAUACCCUUGUAGUC
rnacentral:rRNA from 1 species